AUCCUGGUUUGGUGGAAGUUAAAAAGCUCGUAGUUGGAUUUCGGGUGGGGUGGUGCGGUCCGCCUCUGGUGUGCACUGCUCCGCUCCACCUUCCUGCCGGGGACGGGCUCCUGGGCUUCACUGUCUGGGACUCGGAGUCGGCGAGGUUACUUUGAGUAAAUUAGAGUGUUCAAAGCAGGCCUACGCUCUGAAUACAUUAGCAUGGAAUAACACGAUAGGACUCUGGCCUAUCUGUUGGUCUGUGGGACCGGAGUAAUGAUUAAGAGGGGUAGUCGGGGGCAUUCGUAUUCCGUUGUCAGAGGUGAAAUUCUUGGAUUUACGGAAGACGAACAUCUGCGAAAGCAUUUGCCAAGGAUACUUUCAUUGAUCAAGAACGAAAGUUGGGGGCUCGAAG
rnacentral:rRNA from 1 species